CGAUGCCACACGCUCGAAAUUCGGCGAUGUCGUAAAUUAUAUAAACACACCGAAACACGUAAAACGAUAUGUUUAACACACAUUAAAUAAAACCAAACACGAGAGUGAGGUGCAUGUUCAAAUGUGAUUUGUUCGACUUGACGCAAAGUAAUGCAACCCAACACACACGCGGUUACUAGUAGAGUUAUACCGGCUGUCGAAUAAAUGAAAAAAUAAUAGAUGUAAAUAAAUGUUAAAUUGAAUAAUUUGGCACAUUUUGUGAAGGUUGGACAGUUGAACGUUUGUUUUGGUAUAAACUAAUCAACGUAAUCGUUGAAUCAACGAAAAUUGCAGUGCACGUCGGUUUAUGUUUCAUAUGAUUAUCCAUUUAUUGCACAUUUUAUAGCCGUAAUUGUAAGUCGUGUAUAAAUUACGAUGGCAAUUAUGAUUCGCAACCGCCAGUCGCACAGCGAAACAAUUAAAGCAAAAAAUAUGAAUAACAGGAAGAAGUAUGGUGAAUCUGAUAUUCGGAUAGGUGAGACGCAUAGCAAAAUAACAAAAACGUAAGGAACGACACG